GGGGACAUUAACACAGACUCCAUCUGGAAGUGGCAAUUUGAAGUGACUUUGGAAUUUGAAGUGACAAAUGAAAAUGACUUUAAAGAAACAUAAUCAGUAAGAACAGCAAGACAAUGCAACCCCUCAAAAUGCUGACUCCUCUCUGGUGACAGGGAAGGAGAACCCAGAGAAGAAAGAAGACCCAGCACCCCUCAAACAGCAACCUAACAUAGGAAUGUCAAGACAGAAGAGCAGUGGCUACUCAAUAUCUCCCCGUUCCUGAUGGGACAUGGCUUUUUUGCUUGGCUGCUGUUGGGCUGCCUCAAAGCCUUCCCUGAGGGCUCGGCGAUAAAGCAGGACAAGUUGCUUGGGUUCUGGUGAAUGGUAAUAACCAAGACAGCUCAUGCUGGGUGGAGGGCCACCCAUCGAAUGACACUCUCUGAGAGAGUCAGGCCUCUGGCCAACAGAAGCAAACCACAGGGUCCGGACGCCAGCCCCUUCAUUAGCUGUCACCAGACAGACUCCUUGCUGUCCCUGAGCCUGGGAGCAGUGAGGGAGUGACAGGCUGACAGAAGCCACUGCUGGAGUCCAUCAGAAGCCGUGAGACCGUUUCAAAGAAACAACCUGAACAAACGCUGCUUUUAAAAAUGGGCACUUCUGACAGAAUGCUGUUUUAUUACAAGUUUGAGUGUGAGUGAAAUAAAGGCAAUUUUUAACUUUU